CUGGCGUACAGGACGAACGCUGGCGGCGUAGCCUAAUACAUGCAAGUCGAACGGUCUUUCUAUGGAAGCUUGCUUCCACUGAGAAGAUAGUGGCGAACGGGUGAGUAACACGUGGGUAACCUGCCCAUAAGGAGGGGGAUAACAUCCGGAAACGGGUGCUAAUACCGCAUAGUUUUCUGAUCGCAUGAUCGGGAAAGGAAAGACGGCCUUUGUGCUGUCGCUUAUGGAUGGACCCGCGGCGUAUUAGUUAGUUGGUGAGGUAACGGCUCACCAAGACGAUGAUACGUAGCCGACCUGAGAGGGUGAUCGGCCACAUUGGGACUGAGACACGGCCCAAACUCCUACGGGAGGCAGCAGUAGGGAAUCUUCCGCAAUGGACGAAAGUCUGACGGAGCAACGCCGCGUGAGUGAAAGAAGGUUUUCGGAUCGUAAAACUCUGUUGUCAGAGAAGAACAAGUUGGAGAGUAACUGCUCCAGCCUUGACGGUAUCUGACCAGAAAGCCACGGCUAACUACGUGCCAGCCGCCGC
rnacentral:rRNA from 1 species